rnacentral:lncRNA from 1 species
AAGCAAUGUUCCUUCCACGCAAUUACUCACAGUCUGCAGCGUCUUCAGGCAGCCAUCAUUUCACAUGAGAGCAGCUGCCUGGAGGAUGCAUUCCUGGAAGUGUGCACAGUGAGGAUGGCUUGGCAGUGAGCACUCUUCCCGCCCUCCUUUUUGUGUUUCUUCAAAAAUCCGGAAGCGAUCUAAAGGGACUGAGACAUUGUCUGGACUGGGGUUUCCUGUCUAGAAGAUGGGUCUGUUGUGGAUUCCAUGAGGUCAUAUGGAUCUUCUGCAUUUGGUUCUAGCUAACAGAUGGAUUGCGGUUGCAAGAGUCUUGAACGCCACAGGGAUCAUUACCUAAGAGUUGGACUUCUGGCAACUGAGCUCAAGACUGAUGCACGCUGUGUCUUAGGGUGCUCUCCUGGGCUGAGCAGGGCCUGGAGCAGGCAGAUGUGCUCACAGCUGCCCGGUGCCGGGAUACCACAGCCACUGUCCUGCUCAGUCCAGCCCUGGGCUUUGGUGUCCAGGCGGGAGAAACUUGGCUCUGUUGAGCUUUUCAAAAUAAAGUGGUUUUUAUUUCAUAUUCACGAGAGAGGUUGCAAAAGAGACUC